rnacentral:lncRNA from 1 species
CGUCACGUGAGCGCGCGGGCUGACCUACUUUGGGCCAAUCGCAGCACGCGGAGCCCCGCGCGCCGCCCGCAGCAGCGCCACAGCGUGGAACCGCCGCAACGGUCGCUCCACGCGCCCCGCCCCGCCCCCUGCGUCGCGCCUCGCCUCGCCUCGCCUCACCUCACGGGACCUCGGCCCCUGCGAGCCGGCAGCGGCUGCCGCUUCUGUCUUCUAAAUGCGUUUUUUGGAGGGGACAAAAUGGCAAAAGUAGCGGGGAGGCUGCAUAAGGCAGGAGAGCGGGCUUUGGGGUGCGCGCAGAGAAGUGGUUCCCCGUGGCUGAAAUAGCUCCGUUUGUCACGGGGCGCGCACCGCCCUCCUGCAGGCUGCGCGAAGACGUGCAGAACACAACGGUUUCAGCCUUUGUUUGAGGUCUAAAACAGCCGAGCACCCCCAGCUUGGCCUCGGGUGUCAGUCCACCUCCAUCUGCCCCACAGGACCCGUUACUCAGAGGUGCACAGAAAGCCAAGCGUUCGCGUUUAGACACCCACAUCCCAGGCGGAGCUCAGAGCCAGCAGCUUCUGAAGGGGGGCACGGAGCCCCAGCAGCGCACUCUGCCCUGCGCUCACUGCCCGCACGGUGCACAGCUGGGCGCACUGCUGCGGCUCCUCUGAGCAGGGAGCUGUGCUGAAGGAGCUGUGCUCUGCCCCCUCCGUUUCUAUUGUUUCAUUUUUUCAAAGGUUUUAAUGGAUGUGGGAGAGAAAGGUUUGGAACAGCUUUGGGGUGAUGGCAGAGGAAGCUCUCUGAAGUAAUCCGGGGGCAGUGCCAAGAGGCAUUCCAGUUCUCAGAAAAAUAACCAGUUACUGCUUAUGUGCUGGGAGCUGCAAGAGUGAUGAUUUCUGCUGCCAACAUUUACAGUCAGCCCUGACCAUGACAGUAGAUCAAAUACAUGUACUCGCCUGGACAGCUGACCUGGUUUGAACUCAGUGAGUGUUACUCUCAACGAUGACUGCAUUUUUGGAAUUAAUACUUUGCUGUAUUUUUUUAAAUCAACCAUAACCUCUCCCAGCAUUAACCAACCUCUCAGGACUGUUCCAAGCACCUGGUGCCCUGGGGGAGCUGUUUAGACCCCGCAGGUGUGACUGGCUGGUGAAAUGAGAUGACACAGCUGGACUGAGACAAGCCACAGAGAAGUGGCUGGCCUGCUCUGCAGUUGGACGUUGAUCUGACCAAGGGUAACUCCCAGCUGGUGCCAGUGGGAGAAACAGUUUGAUCCUUCCUCCGUGCUCGGCUCCUUCACUUUUGGCUUGCGUGCAGCAGGAAGGCAGUUAGAAAUAGCUGUUCUUACAUGCUUAGGCUGUUUGAUUUUGGAACUUGGCGCUGGUUUUACUGGAGAUAGAAGAGCACCCACAAGCAGAGAAUGAAACAUCCUAUCCCCAGUCAGAGCUGUAACAGAAGGAAGGAGUGAAAGGAAGCCUGACCUGCUGGAAAAGUGGGACAAGUCCUGCAGACAGCAAUCAACCUUCCAAACAAAGGCAUUAGAAGUCAUGCUAUGUCUUUUUAUGAAAGAAUCAUCAUAGCAGCACACAUUUUAAAAGAACAGCAAGCAGUGCAGGAGGGCUCGUUACUAGUCUGUAUGCAGUUUAUCCUGAAGGAGAGGAUCCAUUAAGGCUUGCAGGGAUCAGUACGAGUGCUUACAGCUGAAGCCCUCUCAACGAAUUCCGUUCACAUUGAUGCAGACUCUGAAAACUCCAGUCCAACACACGCCACAGUCACAAAGGCAGGUGCAGUCCUCUUCAAAACCUGGAAUGGGAUGGCUUCAGUUCUCAGAGAGAAGCAAAGUUCAUCAGAGCUACGGAAGCACGGGCAAGGGAAGCAGGUACAGACCAGCUGGGAGGUAAUCACAGCUGUAUGCAGACACCACGUGCUGAAUAACAAGCAUGUCUACCAGAACUCAGGAUUCAGGUGGGUGACCUGAGAUCUGGUACUUGUAGAACAGCCAUCACAUUUUUGUACAGCUUGAAAAGGAAAGAGCACAGAUCACAUUUUUCCUCUCACUUUUG